AUAUGAACAGGCAGCGCCUUUGACGUGUGCCGGGCCGCAAGGCAGCGGAGCUUCUCCGCGGGACAGAC
rnacentral:ncRNA from 1 species